rnacentral:rRNA from 1 species
UGAGGAAUCUUCCACAAUGGACGAAAGUCUGAUGGAGCAAUGCCGCGUGCAGGAUGACGGCCUUCGGGUUGUAAACUGCUUUUAAUCGGGAAGAUUAUGACGGUACCGAUUGAAUAAGGACCGGCUAACUACGUGCCAGCAGCCGCGGUAAUACGUAGGGUCCAAGCGUUAUCCGGAAUCACUGGGCGUAAAGCGUGCGUAGGCGGGCGUUUAAGUGAGAUGCGAAAUCUUGUGGCUCAACCAUAUAGACUGUAUCUCAUACUGGACACCUUGAGGAUGGCAGAGGCUAGUGGAAUUACUGGUGUAGCAGUGAAAUGCGUAGAUAUCAGUAGGAACACCAAUGGCGAAGGCAGCUAGCUGGGCCAUUUCUGACGCUAAGGCACGAAAGCGUGGGGAGCGAACAGGAUUAGAUACCCCUGUAGUCC